rnacentral:rRNA from 1 species
GCUCAGGACGAACGCUGGCGGCGUGCUUAACACAUGCAAGUCGAACGAUGAAGCCCUUCGGGGUGGAUUAGUGGCGAACGGGUGAGUAACACGUGGGCAAUCUGCCCUUCACUCUGGGACAAGCCCUGGAAACGGGGUCUAAUACCGGAUAACACUCUGUCCCUCAUGGGGCGGGGUUAAAAGCUCCGGCGGUGAAGGAUGAGCCCGCGGCCUAUCAGCUUGUUGGUGGGGUAAUGGCCUACCAAGGCGACGACGGGUAGCCGGCCUGAGAGGGCGACCGGCCACACUGGGACUGAGACACGGCCCAGACUCCUACGGGAGGCAGCAGUGGGGAAUAUUGCACAAUGGGCGAAAGCCUGAUGCAGCGACGCCGCGUGAGGGAUGACGGCCUUCGGGUUGUAAACCUCUUUCAGCAGGGAAGAAGCGAAAGUGACGGUACCUGCAGAAGAAGCACCGGCUAACUACGUGCCAGCAGCCGCGGUAAUACGUAGGGUGCGAGCGUUGUCCGGAAUUAUUGGGCGUAAAGAGCUCGUAGGCGGCUUGUCACGUCGGAUGUGAAAGCUCGGGGCUUAACCCCGAGUCUGCAUUCGAUACGGGCUAGCUAGAGUGUGGUAGGGGAGAUCGGAAUUCCUGGUGUAGCGGUGAAAUGCGCAGAUAUCAGGAGGAACACCGGUGGCGAAGGCGGAUCUCUGGGCCAUUACUGACGCUGAGGAGCGAAAGCGUGGGGAGCGAACAGGAUUAGAUACCCUGGUAGUCCACGCCGUAAACGUUGGGAACUA